rnacentral:rRNA from 1 species
GAUGAACGCUGGCGGCGUGCCUAAUACAUGCCAGUCGAGCGAACGGACGAGAAGCUUGCUUCUCUGAUGUUAGCGGCGGACGGGUGAGUAACACGUGGAUAACCUACCUAUAAGACUGGGAUAACUUCGGGAAACCGGAGCUAAUACCGGAUAAUAUUUUGAACCGCAUGGUUCAAAAGUGAAAGACGGUCUUGCUGUCACUUAUAGAUGGAUCCGCGCUGCAUUAGCUAGUUGGUAAGGUAACGGCUUACCAAGGCAACGAUGCAUAGCCGACCUGAUAGGGUGAUCGGCCACACUGGAACUGAGACACGGUCCAGACUCCUACGGGAGGCAGCAGUAGGGAAUCUUCCGCAAUGGGCGAAAGCCUGACGGAGCAACGCCGCGUGAGUGAUGAAGGUCUUCGGAUCGUAAAACUCUGUUAUUAGGGAAGAACAUAUGUGUAAGUAACUGUGCACAUCUUGACGGUACCUAAUCAGAAAGCCACGGCUAACUACGUG